rnacentral:rRNA from 1 species
GCAUAUCAGUAAGCGGUGGAAAAGAAACUAAACAGGAUUCUCCGAGUAACUGCGAGUGAAAAGAGAUUAGCCCAACAUCGAAGCCUCCAUGCGUUUGUGUGGAAGGCAAUGUGAUGUUAAGACAUUUAGACUCACAGACUGGCUAACUUGAAGUCCAUAUUUGACUGUGGCUUGUGCGUAUGCACCCACAGAGGGUGAAAGGCCCGUUCAGGUUGGUUUCUGAUAUGACAGUCUUGUGUGUUUUUAUUUGUCUUGGAGUCGGAUUGCUUGAGAAUGCAGUCCAAAAUUGGUGGUAAACUCCAUCUAAGGCUAAAUACCUGUGCGAAUCCGAUAGUCAACAAGUACCGUGAGGGAAAGUUGAAAAGUACUCUGAAGAGAGAGUAAAUAGUACGUGAAACUACAUGGAGGUUAAACAGAUAGAGUCAAGCUGCGUGUCAUGUUCAUUGCAUUGAGCGCUUUUGUGUUGAAAGGCAAGCUUGUGGUGCUGGUAUGUUCUCCUAUUCACUUGUGGAUAUACGAACAAUUGUUGUGUUCGCAGUACCUCAGGCAAGCCAGUGUUCAAUGUUAAUGACUUGACAGGUGCCAUGGUCGAUUGCACUGCCAGUAUGCUUUAACCGACGACUAUUCAGGCUAUUGCCGUAGCUUGUUUAGUUAGUAUGACAGUUGGCUAAGUCGUGUGCUUGCACAUGAGUUUGUCAAAAAUGGCCACGGCCUGUUGGUUAUUGCAUGAACUGUGUGGGCAAUCGGUGAAGUAUGCUCGCAAAAUUCAUGUUAGCUGUUCCAACUUUGUUGGACGGCUUUUUGAAAGAGCGUAUGAACCGUGGUUCUGUGGUAGACUUUCUAUCUGACCCGUCU